rnacentral:rRNA from 1 species
GUUCGUAGUGACCUGCGGAGGAUCAUUACCGAGUGCGGGUCCUUUGGGCCCAACCUCCCAUCCGUGUCUAUUGUACCCUGUUGCUUCGGCGGGCCCGCCGCUUGUCGGCCGCCGGGGGGGCGCCUCUGCCCCCCGGGCCCGUGCCCGCCGGAGACCCCAACACGAACACUGUCUGAAAGCGUGCAGUCUGAGUUGAUUGAAUGCAAUCAGUUAAAACUUUCAACAAUGGAUCUCUUGGUUCCGGCAUCGAUGAAGAACGCAGCGAAAUGCGAUAACUAAUGUGAAUUGCAGAAUUCAGUGAAUCAUCGAGUCUUUGAACGCACAUUGCGCCCCCUGGUAUUCCGGGGGGCAUGCCUGUCCGAGCGUCAUUGCUGCCCUCAAGCCCGGCUUGUGUGUUGGGUCGCCGUCCCCCUCUCCGGGGGGACGGGCCCGAAAGGCAGCGGCGGCACCGCGUCCGAUCCUCGAGCGUAUGGGGCUUUGUCACAUGCUCUGUAGGAUUGGCCGGCGCCUGCCGACGUUUUCCAACCAUUCUUUCCAGGUUGACCUCGGAUCAGGUAGGGAUACCCGCUGAACUUAAGCUAUCAAAA